rnacentral:rRNA from 4 species
GCCGGAGGGAAACCGAGUCUUAAUUGGGCGUUAAGUUGCAGGGUAUAGACCCGAAACCCGGUGAUCUAGCCAUGGGCAGGUUGAAGGUUGGGUAACACUAACUGGAGGACCGAACCGACUAAUGUUGAAAAAUUAGCGGAUGACCUGUGGCUGGGGGUGAAAGGCCAAUCAAACCGGGAGAUAGCUGGUUCUCCCCGAAAGCUAUUUAGGUAGCGCCUCGUGAAUUCAUCUCCGGGGGUAGAGCACUGUUUCGGCUAGGGGGCCAUCCCGGCUUACCAACCCGAUGCAAACUGCGAAUACCGGAGAAUGUUAUCACGGGAGACACACGGCGGGUGCUAACGUCCGUCGUGAAGAGGGAAACAACCCAGACCGCCAGCUAAGGUCCCAAAGUCAUGGUUAAGUGGGAAACGAUGUGGGAAGGCCCAGACAGCCAGGAUGUUGGCUUAGAAGCAGCCAUCAUUUAAAGAAAGCGUAAUAGCUCACUGGUCGAGUCGGCCUGCGCGGAAGAUGUAACGGGGCUAAACCAU